rnacentral:tRNA from 1 species
GGGGAUUUAGCUCAGUGGUAGAGCGCUUGCCUAGCUAACGCAAGGCCCUGGGUUCAGUCCCCA